AUAGAUGCUCUCCCCACCAGUGCCUGCAAAUCAACCAGAGAGAUUAUCUCUAAUUAAGGCAUUACAGCAAGAAAGACUUCAUCCAGAAGUUGUCUCAGAGAUGAAAAAGGGACCCCAAUACGCUUUUCCCUAGUAACCAAUUUCAUUCUAUAAACAUAUAUACUAAGCUCCUUGUGUGUUAAUUAAACUAAAAACUAGAUCAUGAGGUAUCUACAUCACACAUAUUGUGAUAUAAAGAAAUAUAUACGGUUUGGAGAUUUAAUGUAUAAAGGAUAACAGGUUUGAAGAAUACCAUUCCCAUUGGAAAAAUCACCA